rnacentral:rRNA from 1 species
CAGCAGCAGCCACGGUAACACGGAGGGGGCUAGCGUUGUUCGGAAUUACUGGGCGUAAAGCGUACGUAGGCGGCUUUGUAAGUUAGAGGUGAAAGCCUGGUGCUCAACACCAGAACUGCCUUUAAGACUGCAUCGCUUGAACGUCGGAGAGGUGAGUGGAAUUCCGAGUGUAGAGGUGAAAUUCGUAGAUAUUCGGAAGAACACCAGUGGCGAAGGCGGCUCACUGGACGACUGUUGACGCUGAGGUACGAAAGCGUGGCGAGCAAACAGGAUUAGAUACCCCCGUAGUCCCUGUCUCUUAUAC